ensembl:lncRNA
AAAAAAAAAAUGGUGUGAGUCACUUCUGGUUGAAGCUUCCAGAAAGGGAGUAGAAAUGCUAAUGCUGUGCUGUGUAGAGAGCCCAGAUGACAGCAGACUGCUGGGCUCCCACAGAUGGUUCAUAGCCUCACUGCCCCAGCACGGAUCACCUCACAGUGGCCGCCCAGCGUGUAUGGUGUGGAGGGGCCAGAACAGGUAUUCAUUUUGUGAAAGCAUUUCAAUGAGUCAUUCACUCAUGAACAAGCCCUUAAUAGAACACCGGACGCAGUGCUGUUGGUAGUGGUGGUUCUGCUGCGUGGUGGGGAUCAUUCUGGCGGUCUGUAAGAGUUCCAGAAGAAUGUGUGACUUGAUUAAAUAAGGGGGGCUACGCCAGUAGUCUUUCAGAUGGCCCAGAAUUCUCAGUCCACUGAUGUUGGAAAAUCGACCUACGUCGGACAGAUUGAGUUCAAUGGGGCUAUAUCUCUCAGCUCUUCUAUUAGUGGAAUAGAAUUAUGCUCUUGGAGGUCUCAAAUAGCUCUUGUGCACAAGUGGUCCCCGUCCUACUGCUGAGGGAUGGAAAACUUCUGGAGCAUAAGUGAUUAAUGCAAUGAGCACCACCUGUCGCACUAAGAGCUUCAUCGGGUCAGUGAGCACGGGGUGAGAGCUGACCUGAGCUUUGGAUCCCAGACGGUCUGCUUGUGGUCUCAGAGAUGAAAUGUUUCUCUCUCUCUCUCUCUCUCUCACACACUCACUCACUCUCUCUCUCUCUCUCGCUCUCUCUCACUCUCUCUAUUUCGCUCACUCUCUCUCGCUCUCUCUGUCACUCUCUCUUUCUCUUUCACUCUCUCCUUCACCCCCUCCCUCAGCAGAGAUUGUUUUCUGAUUGCUGAAGAGGUAAUCAAAGCCUGAGGGGAGGGGAAAGUGCACUUCUGGAAAAUGCCAUCACUACUGUGGGGGAAAAAAAAGAGAGAGAUGGCUUCCAUCUGUCUUGGCAAAAUUACACUUCAGAUUUAGGCCUGAGGUGAGUUUCACCUGUCUUCCCCUCAAUUACUGUGGGGACAUUUAAGGGGAAAAAGGAGUUAGCAAGAAUUUGAAUGAGGUGUCUGGAUCUUUGGUGUCUGGGGCAUUCCAUCAAACACCAAACCUCCAACCCAUCCAAGAGCCUAACUGGCUCUUUCGUGAAGAAAUGGUUUGUCUAAUAGACAAAUAUUGAAGCAUUGGUUCUUCUUUACUCUUUUGCAAAUCCUAUUUCGAAAGUGGAAGUGGCUGAGAUUAUGAAAUAUUUGCCAUUUUGACAGCUUGCUAUUUGCAGUCUGGAUACGGAAAAUCUCUCAAUAUUCUUUAUUAGAAUAGAAAAACCUAGUAAAACCCUUAAACUAGGACAAUUGUAACUUCAGUUAUAGUCAAUGAAGCAUAUCAUUAAUUUCCUAUUCAGAUUCAUUCUUUUAUCAUUCUGAAGUGAGAUUACAUAGGAACACUAAACAUUACACUGAGAACUGGCAGGCAUGAUAACGUCAUUCGUUAUCCAGUUAACUGGGGUAAUAGCCAUGGAGUCACAUAAUCGCUGACAGGAAUGGAUGUAAUAAAUCUCAAGACUAACAGUCCAACUUCCUUGUGAGUUUCUUCUCCUCAAAGGCCUCUGCCUCGUUUUGGACCUCGCAUCUCUUGAAGGCGGAGGUGGUGGUCAGGCGAACCUGUCCCUGCUCGGCUUUGAGAAAGUCUGUUGAGGUUAAUUACAGAAGCAGCAGCUCGCCAAACUGAUGGCCAAUCAAGCUAUGGAACAAUGAGUCACCUUGGACAACAGGAGAUGGAACUGGUUCUGAAGCUAGGGUUGCCAUGGGGAUACAGCGGGCUCUGAGUGAUGACCCCCAAGUCUUGUCUUCCUUCGACUAAAUUGGCACAUCCAUCCUGUGUGACAGUCCCUUUGAAAUGUAGCCAUCACGGCCAGAAUCAGUCAGCGGGUUACAUCUUGCCCUGUCAAGUCUGUAGGGGGAUCAAAGCCAAAUGUGUGCAGCUGUGGCGUUGUCACAUAUUUAAUGCCCAAGUUUUAGCCUUCAGUAGUUUCCCUGUGCCCUGUCAUAACAUGCAGAAGUUUCUCCCUUCCCCGGAUAUGAAGUGCAGAGACACAUUAAUUUGUUUGGAAGGCUCCAGAGAGGCCACUUAGCCAUGGCUGAAAUCUCUGUGAGUAACGCCGUUGGAUAACCAAAUUUCACACAAAAAAAAGUCAACACGCUCCCUGAUCUCCCCCCUCCCCUGCAAAACCCCCACAGACAGCAGUUACACGCUGGAGACAGGCAGAGGCCAUUUGUCAUUGUGAGUGUUCGUGUUUCCUCUUAUCCGAGAGGGAGGGAGAGAGAGAGAGAGAGAGAGAGAAAGAGAGGUCAAGAGAGACAUUUGGAGACAGUAAAGAGGACAAGAGACACGGG